AUCCAGACUCCUACGGGAGGCAGCAGUGAGGAAUAUUGGUCAAUGGGCGAGAGCCUGAACCAGCCAAGUCGCGUGAGGGAAGACGGUCCUAUGGAUUGUAAACCUCUUUUGUCGGGGAGCAACUUCCGUUACGUGUAACGGAGUCGAGAGUACCCGAAGAAAAAGCAUCGGCUAACUCCGUGCCAGCAGCCGCGGUAAUACGGAGGAUGCGAGCGUUUUCCGGUUUUAUUGGGUUUAAAGGGUGCGUAGGCGGGAAUGCAAGGUAGGAGUGAAAGGCGGGGGGCCCACCCCCGGACCGCCGUUGAAACUGACGGUCUUGAGUGGGCGAGAAGUAUGCGGAAUGCGUGGUGUAGCGGUGAAAUGCAUAGAUAUCACGCAGAACUCCGAUUGCGAAGGCAGCAUACCGGCGCCCAACUGACGCUGAAGCACGAAAGCGUGGGGAUCGAACAGGAUUAGAUACCCCGGUAU
rnacentral:rRNA from 1 species